rnacentral:tRNA from 1 species
GCUCAGUUGGUUGAAUGUCUGACAUCGGCAUGGGUCAUGAUCCCGCAGUUUGUGGGUUCGAACCCCACACUGGGCU